UUGAUCCUGGCUCAGAACGAACGCUGGCGGCGUGCUUAACACAUGCAAGUCGGAUGCGAACGGCGCUUUCGGGCGUUGAGUAGCAUGGCAGACGGGUGAGGAGCGCGUAUCUGACUGGACUCAGGCUGGGGGAUAGUCCCUCGAAAGGGGGUUGAAUACCGCAUGUGCUCGGUGCUGUGAGGGCAUCGAGGAAAGUUGGCCUCUGCGGGCACGCUGAUGGCCUGAGACAGGGAUGCGUCCUAUUAGCUAGCUGGUGGGGUAAGGGCCUACCAGGGCGACGAUGGGUAGCUGGUCUGAGAGGAUGAUCAGCCACACUGGGACUGCGACACGGCCCAGACUCCUACGGGAGGCAGCAGUGGGGAAUUUUGCGCAAUGGGCGCAAGCCUGACGCAGCAACGCCGCGUGCAUGACGACGCCUUUCGAGGUGUAAAGUGCUGUCGACCGGGACGAAGGGGCGAGGGUGAACAGCUUUCGCGCAUGACGGUACCGGUGGAGGAAGCCCCGGCUAACUCCGUGCCAGCAGCCGCGGUAAGACGGAGGGGGCGAGCGUUGUUCGGAAUUACUGGGCGUAAAGCGCGCGUAGGCGGUGCAGCAAGUGGUGCGUGAAAGCCCUCGGCUUAACCGGGGACGGGCGUGCCAAACUGUUGGACUGGAGUGCCGGAAGGGGGAAGGCGGAAUUCCUGGUGGAGCGGUGAAAUGCGUAGAGAUCAGGAAGAACGUCGGUGGCGAAGGCGGACUCCUGGACGGACACUGACGCUGAGGUGCGACCAGCGUGGGCAGCCAACGGGAUUAGAUACCCCGGGUAGUCCACGGCCGUAAACGAUGGGUACUAAGUGUGGGGCUUGU
rnacentral:rRNA from 1 species